GCCUGGAUAGCUCAGUUGGUUAGAGCCUGGUGCUGAUAACACCAUGGUUCAAUCUCCAUAUAGGACA